rnacentral:rRNA from 1 species
CCUACGGGUGGCUGCAGUGGGGAAUAUUGGGCAAUGGAGGAAACUCUGACCCAGCAACGCCGCGUGAAGGAUGAAGGUUUUCGGAUUGUAAACUUCUGUCGCGAGGGAUGAAGAAUGACGGUACCUCGUAAGAAAGCCCCGGCAAACUACGUGCCAGCAGCCGCGGUAAUACGUAGGGGGCAAGCGUUAUCCGGAUUUACUGGGUGUAAAGGGAGCGUAGACGGCAGUGCAAGUCUGGAGUGAAAGGCGGGGGCUUAACCCCCGGACUGCUCUGGAAACUGUACGGCUGGAGUGCAGGAGAGGUAAGUGGAAUUCCUAGUGUAGCGGUGAAAUGCGUAGAUAUUAGGAGGAACACCAGUGGCGAAGGCGGCUUACUGGACUGUAACUGACGUUGAGGCUCGAAAGCGUGGGGAGCAAACAGGAUUAGAUACCCGAGUAGUC